rnacentral:rRNA from 1 species
UCCUACGGGAGGCAGCAGUGGGGAAUAUUGCACAAUGGGGGAAACCCUGAUGCAGCAACGCCGCGUGGAGGAUGACGCAUUUCGGUGUGUAAACUCCUUUUAUAUAGGAAGAUAAUGACGGUACUAUAUGAAUAAGCACCGGCUAACUCCGUGCCAGCAGCCGCGGUAAUACGGAGGGUGCAAGCGUUACUCGGAAUCACUGGGCGUAAAGCGCGCGCAGGCGGUUUGAUAAGUUGGAUGUGAAAGCCUACGGCUCAACCGUAGAACUGCAUCCAAAACUGUCAAACUAGAGUGUGGGAGAGGAAGAUGGAAUUAGUUGUGUAGGGGUAAAAUGCGUAGAUAUAUGGAGGAACACCGGUGGCGAAAGCGGCUCUCUGGACUGUAACUGACACUGAGGCUCGAAAGCGUGGGUAGCAAACAGGAUUAGAUACCCUGGUAGUCCACGCCGUAAACGAUGAGUGCUAGUUGUUUGGGGCUAUCCAGCCCUAAGUGACGCAGCAAACGCAUUAAGCACUCCGCCUGGGGAGUACGACCGCAAGGUUGAAACUCAAAGGAA